UGACCGGAUGCCGAUCUCGAAAACCUGUCCCAGUUCGGACUGGAGUCUGCAACCCGACUCCACGAAGUUGGAUUCGCUAGUAAUCGCGCAUCAGCCAUGGCGCGGUGAAUACGUUCCCGGGCCUUGUACACACCGCCCGUCAAGCCAUGGGAGCCGGGGGCGCCUGAAGUCCGGGACCGCGAGGACCGGCCUAAGGCGAAACUGGUGACUGGGGCUAAGUCGUAACAAGGUAGC
rnacentral:rRNA from 1 species